UUGCACCAGAUACAAACUAGUAGUCAUCGUGGUGAAACAAUUUGUGUUUCACUGUGAAAACCUUUGGCUACCUCGUUACAAAAUGGUGCAACAGGAAUAUGAGCCCUGAUAUUUAAGCUUCUCAGUGGAAAGUGACACUGUUGAGUUAUGGACCAGAGGCACAGAU
ensembl:scaRNA small Cajal body-specific RNA 1